CCUACGGGCGGCAGCAGUGAGGAAUAUUGGUCAAUGGACGAGAGUCUGAACCAGCCAAGUAGCGUGAAGGAUGACUGCCCUAUGGGUUGUAAACUUCUUUUAUAUGGGAAUAAAAUGUUCCACGUGUGGGAUUUUGUAUGUACCAUAUGAAUAAGGAUCGGCUAACUCCGUGCCAGCAGCCGCGGUAAUACGGAGGAUCCGAGCGUUAUCCGGAUUUUUUGGGUUUAAGGGGAGCGUAGGUGGAUUGUUAAGUCAGUUGUGAAAGUUUGCGGCUCAACCGUAAAAUUGCAGUUGAAACUGGCAGUCUUGAGUACAGUAGAGGUGGGCGGAAUUCGUGGUGUAGCGGUGAAAUGCUUAGAUAUCACGAAGAACUCCGAUUGCGAAGGCAGCUCACUGGACUGCAACUGACACUGAGGUUCGAAAGUGUGGGUAUCAAACAGGAUUAGAUACCCGGGUAGUC
rnacentral:rRNA from 1 species